CCUACGGGAGGCUGCAGUGGGGAAUAUUGCACAAUGGGGGAAACCCUGAUGCAGCGACGCCGCGUGAAGGAAGAAGUAUUUCGGUAUGUAAACUUCUAUCAGCAGGGAAGAAAAUGACGGUACCUGACUAAGAAGCCCCGGCUAACUACGUGCCAGCAGCCGCGGUAAUACGUAGGGGGCAAGCGUUAUCCGGAUUUACUGGGUGUAAAGGGAGCGUAGGCGGCGGUGUAAGUCAGAAGUGAAAGCCCGUGGCUCAACUACGGGACUGCUUUUGAAACUGUACGGCUAGAGUGCAGGAGAGGUAAGUGGAAUUCGUAGUGUAGCGGUGAAAUGCGUAGAUAUUAGGAGGAACACCAGUGGCGAAGGCGGCUUGCUGGACUGUAAAUGACGCUGAGGCUCGAAAGCGUGGGGAGCAAACAGGAUUAGAUACCCGUGUAGUC
rnacentral:rRNA from 1 species